UGAUCGGAGCCGAGUACGGACCCCCCGCUGACAUAUGGAGCACUGCGUGUAUGGCGUUUGAGUUGGUGACUGGAGACUAUCUGUUUGAGCCUCACUCAGGAGAGGACUACACUCGAGAUGAAGAUCACAUAGCUCACGUCAUUGAGCUGUUGGGUCCCAUUCCUCCACACUUUGCCCUGUCAGGCCGAUACUCCAGAGAAUACUUCAACCGAAGAGGUA